rnacentral:rRNA from 1 species
UACUGGGCGUAAAGCGCAUGUAGGCGGACAUUUAAGUCAAGGGGGUGAAAUCCCCGGGGGCUCAACCUCGGAACUGCCUUUGAUACUGGGUGUCUAGAGUGUGGAAGAGGUAAGUGGAAUUCCGAGUGUAGAGGUGAAAUUCGUAGAUAUUCGGAGGAACACCAGUGGCGAGGGCGGCUUACUGGUCCAUUACUGACGCUGAGGUGCGAAAGCGUGGGGAGC